GACGAACGCUGGCGGCGUGCUUAACACAUGCAAGUCGAACGAAGUGGCGAACGGGUGAGUACUACGAGGGUAACCUGCCCUCCUUUUUGGGAUAAGCCUUGGAGACGUGGUCUAAUACAGAAUAAAGGGGGAUGGGCUCGCGGCCUAUCGGCUGGUUGGUGGGGUGAUGGCCUACCAAGGCGGUGACGGGUAGCCGGCCUGAGAGGGUGACCGGCCACAGUGGGACGGAGUAACGGCCCAGACGCCUACGGGAGGCAGAAGUGGGGGAUAUUGCACAAUGGGCGAAAGCCUGAUGCAGCGACGCCGCGUGGGGGAUGAGGGCUUUCGGGUUGUAAACCUCUGGCGCUAUCGAACGGGUAGGUAGAGAAGAAGCGCCGGCUAACUACGUGCCAGCCGCCGCGGUAAUAC
rnacentral:rRNA from 1 species